rnacentral:rRNA from 1 species
CCUACGGGUGGCAGCAGUGAGGAAUAUUGGUCAAUGGACGAGAGUCUGAACCAGCCAAGUAGCGUGAAGGAUGACUGCCCUAUGGGUUGUAAACUUCUUUUAUAAAGGAAUAAAACGGGGCACGUGUGCCUUUUUGCAUGUACUUUAUGAAUAAGGCUCGGCUAACGCCGUUCCAGCAGCCGCGGUAAUUCGGAGGAUCCGAGCGUUUUCCGGAUUUAUUGGGUUUAAAGGGAGCGUAGAUGGGUUGUUAAGUCAGUUGGGAAAGUUUGCGGCUCAAACGUAAAAUUGCAAUUGAUACUGGCAGUCUUGAGUACAGUUGAGGUAGGCGGAAUGCGUGGUGUAGCGGUGAAAUGCUUAGAUAUCACGAAGAACUCCGAUUGCGAAGGCAGCUUACUAAACUGUGACUGACAUUGAUGCUCGAAAGUGUGGGUAUCAAACAGGAUUAGAUACCCCUGUAGUC